GGCUUCGUAGCUCAGCUAGUAGAGUGCUUGCCGUGUUGAGACAUGUUUUCUAUCGCUGGUUCAAAUCCAGCCGAAGGCC